rnacentral:lncRNA from 1 species
UAAUACUGCAAAAAGAUGUUACAGAAUCGUACCAAAAUACUGAGCCAAAUCCAGCUGUCAAGGGAAAAAAAAAUCUGGCUGAGUUUUAAAAAUAGCAAUAAAUUAGGCAGAAAUAAAAAAAAGAAAAAAAAAAAAAAAAAAAAAANNNNNNNNNNAACCUCAUGACCAAGCCAUAUCCUCAGCCAAAUCCUGGGUGCUGUUGUAGCAUGCUGGCAAGAUGAGCAGUGCUAGAGCCAAGUGCAGAAGGAGCUUUGGCUAGUCUGAAGUUGACACUGUUGUUUCUGUUCCCAGAGCUAAUUAAAGGCUUCCCAGAAACAUUGGCUAAACUUAAUUUUGUGCUGGUCACAGAUCAGGUCUGGGGACAGCAUGAGGAAGAAGGAGAGACUGCGAAGAGCCAGCAGGAAUCAAAGGAGGUAGUGCCUCCUGUCAUUAAGCUAAAGAAUUUCUCACUGAAUCAUCUGAAGCAUAACAUUGAUGAGACACAGUUAACCUGUAUUCUUGUCUGCUGCGGAGUGGAGGAAUAAAAGCUUUCUGGAUCUGCAUAGAC